rnacentral:rRNA from 1 species
CCCUGCCAUUUGUACACACCGCCCGUCGCUACUACCGAUUGAAUGGCUUAGUGAGACCUCCGGAUCGGCAUCGGAAAGCCGGCAACGGCAUUCCUUUGAUGAGAAGCUGGUCAAACUUGGUCAUUUAG